GAUGAACGCUGGCGGCGUGCCUAAUACACGCAAGUCGAGCGAACAGACGAGGAGCUUUCUCCUCUGGCGUUAGCGGCGGAAGGGUGAGUAACAAGUGGAUAAACUACCUAUAAGACUGGGAUAAAUUCGGGAAACCGGAGCUAAUACCGGAUAAUAUAUUGAACCGCAUGGUUCAAUAGUGAAAGACGGUUUUGCUGUCACUUAUAGAUUGAUCCGCGCCGCAUUAGCUAGUUGGUAAGGUAACGGCUUACCAAGGCAACGAUGCGUAGCCGACCUGAGAGGGUGAUCGGCCACACUGGAACUGAGACACGGUCCAGACUCCUACGGGAGGCAGCAGUAGGGAAUCUUCCGCAAUGGGCGAAAGCCUGACGGAGCAACGCCGCGUGAGUGAUGAAGGUCUUCGGAUCGUAAAACUCUGUUAUUAGGGAAGAACAAAUGUGUAAGUAACUAUGCACGUCUUGACGGUACCUAAUCAGAAAGCCACGGCUAACUACGUG
rnacentral:rRNA from 1 species